AGUGAACGCUGGCGGUAGGCCUAACACAUGCAAGUCGAACGGCAGCACAGUAAGAGCUUGCUCUUACGGGUGGCGAGUGGCGGACGGGUGAGGAGUACAUCAGAAUCUACUUUUUCGUGGGGGAUAACGUAGGGAAACUUACGCUAAUACCGCAUACGACCUACGGGUGAAAGCAGGGGAUCUUCGGACCUUGCGCGAUUGAAUGAGCCGAUGUCGGAUUAGCUAGUUGGCGGGGUAAAGGCCCACCAAGGCGACGAUCCGUAGCUGGUCUGAGAGGAUGAUCAGCCACACUGGAACUGAGACACGGUCCAGACUCCUACGGGAGGCAGCAGUGGGGAAUAUUGGACAAUGGGCGCAAGCCUGAUCCAGCCAUACCGCGUGGGUGAAGAAGGCCUUCGGGUUGUAAAGCCCUUUUGUUGGGAAAGAAAAGCAGCAGGUUAAUACCCCGCUGUUCUGACGGUACCCAAAGAAUAAGCACCGGCUAACUUCGUG
rnacentral:rRNA from 1 species